rnacentral:rRNA from 1 species
AGCAGCCGCGGUAAUUCCAGCUCCAAUAGCGUAUAUUAAAGUUGUUGCAGUUAAAAAGCUCGUAGUUGAAUUUCGGGAUCAGCAGGUCGGUCGUGCCACUGGUAUGCACUGGCCCUUUGCUGAUUCCUCCCUCUUGAUGAGCCGUAAUGCCAUUAAUUUGGUGUUGCGGGGAAUCAGGACUGUUACUUUGAAAAAAUUAGAGUGUUUAAAGCAGGCAUGCGCCUGAAUACAUUAGCAUGGAAUAAUGAAAUAGGACGUUCGAUCCUAUUUUGUUGGUUUCUAGGAUUGACGUAAUGAUUAAUAGGGAUAGUUGGGGGCAUUAGUAUUCAAUUGUCAGAGGUGAAAUUCUUGGAUUUAUUGAAGACUAACUACUGCGAAAGCAUUUGCCAAGGAUGUUUUCAUUAAUCAAGAACGAAAGUUAGGGGAUCGAAGACGAUCAGAUACCGUCGUAGUCUUAACCAUAAACUAUGCCGACUAGGGAUCGGAUGAUGUUAAUUUUUUAAUGACUCAUUCGGCGCCU